rnacentral:rRNA from 1 species
GUUCGGUACCUGUUCGGGGAGGAGGUCCACCCCCACUGGAAUGGAGCCACGGCCCAGAUUCUUCCGGGAGCCACCAGUGGGGAAUUUUGGCCAAUGGGCGAAACCUUGACCCAGCCAUCCGGGGGGGAGGAGGAAGCCCUUCGGGUUGUAAACCCCUUUAGUGUGGAAGGAAAUCCCUUAGUUUAAUCCCCGGGUGAGUGGACGUUACUCGCAGAAUAAGCACCGGCUAACUCUGUGCCAGCAGCCGCGGUAAUACGGAGGGUGCAAGCGUUAAUCGGAAUUACUGGGCGUAAAGCGCGCGUAGGCGGUCAAUUAAGUCAGAUGUGAAAUCCCCGGGCUCAACCUGGGAACUGCAUUCGAUACUGGCAGGCUAGAGUGUGGGAGAGGAUGGUAGAAUUCCAGGUGUAGCGGUGAAAUGCGUAGAGAUCUGGAGGAACACCGAUGGCGAAGGCAGCCACCUGGCCUAACACUGACGCUGAGG